UACGUAGGGGGCAAACGUUGUCCGGAAUUAUUGGGCGUAAAGAGCGUGUAGGCGGCCAGAUAAGUCCGCUGUGAAAUCUCGAGGCUCAACUUCGAGCUGUCGGUGGAAACUAUCUGGCUAGAGUCCGGAAGAGGAGAAUGGAAUUCCUGGUGUAGCGGUGAAAUGCGCAGAUAUCAGGAAGAACACCCGUGGCGAAGGCGGUUCUCUGGGACGGUACUGACGCUGAGACGCGAAAGCGUGGGGAGCGAACAGG
rnacentral:rRNA from 1 species